AAUAAAGUGCCUGAUAAAAAGGACUAUCUUGAUAGGGUAGAUCAUGCAUAUUUUUGCCUUUAUUG
rnacentral:tRNA from 1 species